UCGUCAUAUGCUUGUCUCAAAGAUUUAGCCAUGCAUGUGUAAGUUCAGCCAGCUUAAGGUGAAACUGCGCAUAGCUCAUUAUAUCAGUGGUUAUCUACAAGCUUGUGAAGCAAAGGGAUAUUCGUGGCAAUUCUACGCUUAAUACCUGCCGAUUCCCGAAUUUCUUAGUUCGUAUGAUGACCCAUUAGGGCCUUGCUCUCGAUCCACUGCCCUAUCAACUUCCGAUGGUAGUAUAGAGGACUACCAUGGUUUCGACGGGUAACGGGGAAUCAGGGUUCGAUUCCGGAGAGGGAGCCUGAGAAAUAGCUACCACAUCCAAGGAUGGCAGCAGGCGCGCAAAUUACCCACUGGGAAAUCCCCGAGGUAGUUAUGAGCAAUAGCUAAGCGUUCUCCUUUUGGGGCACGCCAUAGCCAUGAGGUCAACGUGAACAAUUGACCGAAGGCAACU
rnacentral:rRNA from 1 species